UACAGAGGGUGCGAGCGUUGUCCGGAAUCACUGGGCGUAAAGGGCGCGUAGGUGGCGCGACAAGUCAGUGGUGAAAGUUCGACGCUCAACGUCGAAUCGGCCACUGAUACUGUUGGGCUUGAGCACUGUAGAGGCUAAUGGAAUUCCGGGUGUAGCGGUGGAAUGCGUAGAGAUCCGGAAGAACACCGGUGGCGAAGGCGGCCUGCUGGGCAGUUAGCUGACACUGAGGCGCGACAGCGUGGGGAGCAAACAGG
rnacentral:rRNA from 1 species